UACGAAGGGGGCUAGCGUUGCUCGGAAUCACUGGGCGUAAAGCGCACGUAGGCGGACUCUUAAGUCGGUGGUGAAAUCCUGGAGCUCAACUCCAGAACUGCCUUCGAUACUGAGAGUCCUGAGUCCGGGAGAGGUGAGUGGAACUGCGAGUGUAGAGGUGAAAUUCGUAGAUAUUCGCAAGAACACCAGUGGCGAAGGCGGCUCACUGGCCCGGUACUGACGCUGAGGUGCGAAAGCGUGGGGAUCAAACAGG
rnacentral:rRNA from 1 species